rnacentral:rRNA from 1 species
AUUGAACGCUGGCGGCAGGCCUAACACAUGCAAGUCGAGCGAGCGGCGGACGGGUGAGUAAUGUCUGGGAAACUGCCUGAUGGAGGGGGAUAACUACUGGAAACGGUAGCUAAUACCGCAUACCAUCAGAUCUGCCCCGAUGGGAUUAGCUAGUAGGGGGGGUAACGGCUCACCAGGGCGACGAUCCCUAGCUGGUCUGAGAGGAUGACCAGCCACACUGGAACUGAGACACGGUCCAGACUCCUACGGGAUGCAGCAGUGGGGAAUAUUGCACAAUGGGCGAAAGCCUGAUGCAGCCAUGCCGCGUGUGGGAAGAAGGCCUUCGGGUUGUAAAGCACUUUCAGCGGGGAGGCGUUACCCGCAGAAGAAGCACCGGCUAACUCCGUGCCAGCCGCCGCGGUAAUAC